rnacentral:lncRNA from 1 species
CUCCUUAUCCUUCUUCUUCUUAUCUUUUUUCUUCUUCUCCUUCUUAUUCUUCUCCUUAUUCUCCUUCUCCUUCUUCUUCUUNCUUCUUCUUCUUCUUCAUCUUCUCCUUCUUCUUCUUCUUCUUCUUCUUCUUCUUAUUCUUCUUCUUACCUAAUUAUCCCCCAAAAUGACAUAAUUAGCUUAUUUAGUUAAUUUGUGACAUAAUUAGCUUGGUUAGGUGAAAAAUAGUAUAAAAACCUUGGUUACCUCAUAAAUGUCAUAUACUUAGCUGAUGUUCCUCCAAAAUGACAUAAUAAGCUCAAUAAUGCCAUCAAAAGAAAAAUAAAGAAUAGAAGAGG